rnacentral:rRNA from 1 species
AUGUCUCCGACCACCGCCGCGUCCCCCGCGCCGGCGCCGGCAACCGACGCGCCCCCGAAGCCUUCGCCAGGCGCGAAGCGCAGCCUGAUGGGGUCCCUCAUCGACGCCACCGCGCUGCUCCGGGCGGCCUCCUUCAAGGAGGACUCGUACGUGGCCGCAGCGCUCCCGGCCUCGGACCUCCGCGCGCUCGCCGACCUCAGGGCGCUCCUCGCCACCCACCCGGACCAAAUCUCCAUCUGGGGCGUGCCGCUCAACCCGCCCAGCGACGCCCCCGCCGACGAGCGCACCGACGUCGUGCUCCUCAAGUUCCUCCGCGCCAGGGACUUCCGCGUCCGCGACGCGCACGCCAUGCUGCUCCGCUGCGCCGCCUGGCGGGCCGAGUUCCGCGCCGACGCCGUGCUGGACGAGGACCCCGGGUUCAAGGACCUGGAGGGCAUCGUCGCCUACAUGCACGGCUGGGACCGCGAGGGCCACCCCGUCUGCUACAACGCCUACGGCGUGUUCAAGGACCGGGACAUGUACAACAGGGUGUUCGGCGACGGCGACCGCCUCAGCCGGUUCCUCCGGUGGCGCGUCCAGAUCAUGGAGCGCGGCGUGCGCGCGCUCCAGCUCCGCCCCGGCGGCGUCAACGCCAUCAUACAGGUCACCGACCUCAAGGACAUGCCGAAGCGAGAGCUCCGCGCCGCGUCCAACCAGAUACUCUCCCUCUUCCAGGACAACUACCCCGAGAUGGUCGCCCGCAAGGUGUUCGUGAACGUGCCGUGGUACUUCUCCGUGCUGUUCUCGAUGAUCUCGCCAUUCCUCACGGAGCGCACCAAGAGCAAGUUCGUCAUCGCGCGCGAGGGCAACGUCGCGGAGACGCUCUUCAAGUUCAUCCGGCCGGAGCUGGUGCCAGUGCAGUACGGCGGGCUGAGCCGCGCCAGCGAGCUAGAGAACGGGCCGCCCAAGCCGGCGUCCGAGUUCACCAUCAAGGGCGGGGAGAAGGUCUUCCUAGAGAUCGACGGCAUCGAGGCCGGUGCAACAAUAACGUGGGACCUGGUCGUCGGCGGCUGGGAGCUGGAGUACGGGGCGGAGUACGUGCCGGCGGCGGAGGGAGGCUACACGCUGUGCGUGGAGAGGACCAGGAAGGUCCCGGCCGCCGCCGCCGAGCCCGUGCACAACGCCUUCACGGCCAAGGAGCCCGGCAAGAUGGUGCUCUCCAUCGACAACUCCGGCUCACGGAAGCGGAAGGUCGCCGCCUACCGCUACUUCGUGCGCAAGCCGUCGGCGUAG